rnacentral:rRNA from 1 species
UACAGGGGGUGCAAACGUUGCUCGGAAUCAUUGGGCGUAAAGCGCACGUAGGCGGUUCGUUAUGUCGGAUGUGAAAGCCCUUGGCUUAACCGAGGAAGUGCAUCCGAAACUGGCGAGCUAGAGUACUAAAGAGGAUCGCGGAAUUCCCGGUGUAGAGGUGAAAUUCGUAGAUAUCGGGAGGAACACCGGUGGCGAAGGCGGCGAUCUGGGUAGAGUACUGACGCUGAGGUGCGAAAGCGUGGGGAGCAAACAGGGAUUAAGAUACCCCA